GACGAACGCUGGCGGCGUGCCUAAUACAUGCAAGUAGAACGCAGUUGCGAACGGGUGAGUAACGCGUAGGUAACUGCCUGGUAGCGGGGGAUAACUAUUGGAAACGAUAGCUAAUACCGCAUACUACCAGAUGGACCUGCGUUGUAUUAUCUUGUUGGGGCGGUAACGGCUCACCAAGGCAACGAUACAUAGCCGACCUGAGAGGGUGAGCUGCCAGACUGGGACUGAUACACGGCCCAGACUCCGACGGGAGGCAGCAGUAGGGAAUUUUCGGCGAUGGGGGGAACCCUGACCGAGCAGCGCCGCGGGGGUGGAGAAGGUUUUCGGAUCGUAAAGCUCUGUUGUUAAGGAAGCGGUACUUAACGAGGAAGGGACGGCUAACUACGUGCCAGCCGCCGCGGUAAUAC
rnacentral:rRNA from 1 species